CCCUUAGAUGUUCUGGGCCGCACGCGCGCUACACUGACGAUGGCAACGAGUUUUUCCUUCGCCGAAAGGUGUGGGUAAUCUUUUGAAACAUCGUCGUGCUGGGGAUAGAUCAUUGCAAUUUUUGAUCUUGAACGAGGAAUUCCUAGUAAGCGCGAGUCAUCAGCUCGCGUUGAUUACGUCCCUGCCCUUUGUACACACCGCCCGUCGCUACUACCGAUUGAAUGGUUUAGUGAGGACUCCUGAUUGGCGCCGCCGCCCCUGCAACGGAGCAGCGGACUGCCGAAAAGUUGUUCAAACUUGAUCAUUUAGAGGAAGUAAAAGUCGUAACA
rnacentral:rRNA from 1 species